rnacentral:rRNA from 1 species
ACGCUCGACACCUACGGGAGGCAGCAGUAGGGAAUCUUCCACGAUGGACGCAAGUCUGAUGGAGCAACGCCGCGUGAGUGAAGAAGGUUUUCGGAUCGUAAAGCUCUGUUGUUGGUGAAGAAGGAUAGAGGUAGUAACUGGCCUUUAUUUGACGGUAAUCAACCAGAAAGUCACGGCUAACUACGUGCCAGCAGCCACGGUAAUCUGAGCGGGCUGGCAAGGC